rnacentral:rRNA from 1 species
AGUGAACGCUGGCGGUAGGCCUAACACAUGCAAGUCGAACGGCAGCACAGUAAGAGCUUGCUCUUGCGGGUGGCGAGUGGCGGACGGGUGAGGAAUACAUCGGAAUCUACUUUUUCGUGGGGGAUAACGUAGGGAAACUUACGCUAAUACCGCAUACGACCUACGGGUGAAAGCAGGGGAUCUUCGGACCUUGCGCGAUUGAAUGAGCCGAUGUCGGAUUAGCUAGUUGGCGGGGUAAAGGCCCACCAAGGCGACGAUCCGUAGCUGGUCUGAGAGGAUGAUCAGCCACACUGGAACUGAGACACGGUCCAGACGCCUACGGGAGGCAGCAGUGGGGAAUAUUGGACAAUGGGCGAAAGCCUGAUCCAGCCAUACCGCGUGGGUGAAGAAGGCCUUCGGGUUGUAAAGCCCUUUUGUUGGGAAAGAAAAGCAGCAGGUUAAUACCCCGCUGUUCUGACGGUACCCAAAGAAUAAGCACCGGCUAACUUCGU